UGAGAACACAGCAAGAUGGCAACAUCCUGAAAUGACCAGGAGUCAUUUCCUGGUGCCUUGAUCUUGGGCUCCCCUGUCUCUCCAGAACAGCUGUGGGACAAGAGUACUCAUGGCGGUCUGCUCUGCACCUGGACCCAGAUCUAUACUGUCAGGGAUUCUGGCACUCACUGGAGCCAGCAAGAGAAAAAUCAAGGUGUGGAUCUAUAAAAGGAAUCAACAGCAGUGAUGAUGACAACAACAACAACAAAACUAAACUGUGUUGACUUUGAUGGGAUCUCUGAGAAACACAGAUGUGCAAUUGUUCUAAUCAUCCAUUUUAAUUUCUGAUAAAACCAACAAAAACAGAUGAACUCUACCAGGUCAAAUUCAUAUAUAAGAUAUGAGUAUGCAAACAGAAGAAUAAGAAGGCAUGUUGCUAUUUUUCUCUGGAAUUAGACUUUUAAGUGCUUAAUUUAUAUGUAAAAGUUAUCUCUGCACAUGCAAUACCUAUGUGCAUGUACACACAUGCAGGCAUGCAUGUGUGUGUAUGUAUGUGUGUGUGUAUGAGUAUGAAUGUGAGCCUCCGAGUGCCCAGAUCCAGAGUGUAGUAGUCUGAGGACAACGUUUGGGAGUAGGUUCUUUCCUUCCACCAUAUGGGUUAAAGGGAUUGAACUCAGGUCAUCAGUCACCUCUCAAGACUGAAAUGCUUAAUUUACUAUGCAUUGGCGUCAUGUGGCAAUUUCGUCCUAGAUAAAAUCUCCCAUCUUGGAGGAAAGGUAGUUAAGACACAGAAUAUCCUAAGGGAAGUGAAGCAUUCUAUCUGCAGGGAAUCUCUUAAACUUAGGAAGAGGACAACUCAAAAGCCCCAGGAAGUCCCUGAAACUGAGCAGAUUGUCUAGGUCCCUCCUUCUCUAAGAUAUAUAAGCAGUGAGGACUGCUGAGAGAUAUUUUCAGGUAGCUUACUAGAAUAAGCAGAGACCAGGCAAGAAGCAGAGACCAGCCAAACUACCUGAAAAAGUCAGACACUGACUGAGCUACCUGGAAGUUAUACAGAAGCUUACAAUUCUCAGAUUUUGUGAGCUGUCACCCAUGUUGGGGUGGGCUUUUGGUGAUUCUGCUCCUGUAAGUAAUUCUUAACCCAUACUUCUGUAACUAAGCCCCAUAAAACCUAUUGGUUUAAGUUGGAAUUGGUGGCAUCUGUACUUUGGCCUAUUGGCAAUUCCCUAUUUGGGGUGAGUUUGUUUACAUCUCCCCAGAAAUAAUGCCACACAACCCUUGAGAAGGGUAUUGAUAAUAACAGAAUUGAAAAAUCUCUGUAAAUGAAUGCCACUAAGGUAGACCGUUGCCACAAGCCAUUCCUUCAAAGAGUUACUUUUCCUGAUGUCUCAAAUGAACAAUUCAUUGCUGAACUGGAGAAGGAUGUCAGAUAGGAGUUUAAUUAAUGCUUCUACCAUAAGAAAUUACGUUCUGCUCUUGUGAUCUUUUCCUAUGGACUGCUUGUUCAGGAAUUCCAAGCAUAUGGAGGAUUUUAGAGUUGGGUAUAAGAGUUAAAGAAACAAAUUAAUGAGCUGACAUGAUCUUGAUCUGGGAUCACAUCACUGAGUUCAGCUGAGUUGAAGUAAACAUUGUAACCAAGGAGAAAGACCAGGAGGAGACAUGCAGGAAGGCUCACCCUCAAGGAGGGAGCUGGGGAGUUGGGAUGGAUAUGCAGUAACAUUCCAGGGAUGGCUGUUUAUUUCCCAGACUUCUCCACAACAGAUUGGGAAUUUAAAAGUACAAAAAAAAAAAAGAUAAGAA